AACAAAGGACCCAGAAGACUGAGUCUGAUGAAGCAAGAUUUUGAUGAUAUACUCCUAGGAACAAAGGGUUGGAGAGACAAGCCCUUAUGGGGGAGGGGGGGAAGAAAAAAAAAAAUCACAGGCUGACUGUAUUAUCUAACAUUA